AACGUAGGAGGCGAGCGUUAUCCGGAUUUACUGGGCGUAAAGCGCGCGCAGGCGGCUUUUUAAGUCGGACGUGAAAGCUCUCGGCUCAACUGAGAGAGGUCGUUCGAAACUAGAUAGCUUGAGGAUGGUAGAGGAGAGUGGAAUUCCCGGUGUAGUGGUGAAAUGCGUAGAUAUCGGGAGGAACACCAGUGGCGAAGGCGGCUCUCUGGGCCAUUCCUGACGCUCAUGUGCGAAAGCUAGGGGAGAGAACGGG
rnacentral:misc_RNA from 1 species